UUACGGCCAUAUCAUGUUGAAACACCGGUUCCUCGUACGAUCACCGAAGUUAAGCAACGUCGAGCCUGGUCAGUACCUAGAUGGGUGACCGCUUGGGAAUACCAGGUGCUGUAA
rnacentral:rRNA from 1 species